rnacentral:lncRNA from 1 species
GGCAAGGAGCAGGACCUCCUGUUAGAAAGUCCCAGAAAGAAACAAACCCUCGGGGACCACCCAGAAGGCCAGGAUCAUCCGAGGGGCCGCCCCGUGGGGUCUCCAUGGCUGCACGUGCAUCCUGAGGCCCAAGUCCUCCUCACAGUGGCUUCACUGGGUGCUGGGACUCUGCAGGGACCGAGCUGUUGGUGCUCCAGCAUUCAGGGAGCUCCUGCCUUGGGGUGGACAGACAGCAGGUAAAGAAGCCUCAUGCAGGGCAGCAGGGGAUACCCUGGGAAGGAAAGUGAGGCAGGAAACAGACACUGGGCCAGUGGCUCCUGGUGAAGGGAUGGGCACUCGGGGAUCUCGGGGAGGGUCCAGGUGAGGACAGCAAGGGCAGAGGAGCCUGUGGGAGGGGUAAGCACGAGGGAGGCCGAGGCCCUGAGAUGUGAGGCCCGCAUCCUGCUGCAGGCGCUCUGCCUCCAGCAAGAGGUGGCUCUGGGGGACAGCUCUCCAUGGGGGACAGCUCUCCAUGGGCUUGGACACCCGUGCUCCCAGACAACAGCUUCUGCCGUGCUCCCAGAUGAGAGCCAGAGCCCUGCCUAUCGGGAGGCCACACUCAUGCCCAAGACUUCUAGGCCUCAGCAGUGCUCCCAAGGGUGUGGCACCAGGUGAAGCAGGGCAGGUGUGUGGACCAGGUGUGCUGGGGGGGCAGAGGGAGGGCAGCACCCCGUGGGCCAGCUACCUCUUGUGUGGGCACACAGCACCUGUGCACUCAAGGUCACCCAUGUGCACGCCGCCUCUCCACUCCUGGCAGCAGCCACCCUCGCACCAUGUGGCUCUGUGUCCUGGCUCCACAGGGCUCCCUGCUGCUGCCAGGAGCAAUUCCUGGAGUCCAGCAUGUGGAGGUAGCAGGGCCUCUGCUGGCUUUGGGACUGGACCAGCAGCACUGCAGGUGCCCUGGCUCUCCCACCUGGGCACACCUGAGGCCUCUCGCCCUUAUCUCCCAGGGCCCUAGCGGUUCCCCUCCACCAUCCCAUCCCAAAGCCUCACCUUUCCAGUGUAGCCCCAGGCCCCAGAGCAGGUGUAUCCACUUUAUUGUACACACAGCAUUUGACUCAGAGCCCAAGACAUGUAUCUGAUAGGAAUAGGGCUGCUCUGGAUGAGGGAGGGGGUGCCCAGCCCCCCAGCCUGGCUCCCCAGCACGCCCACUGCCCUGGCUCUGCGGAGCACCUUCCAGACCAUAUCAGAAGCCCUCAGGGAGGCCCCUGGACCCUGACAUCCCCGAGACCCCCUGAGGGACCCACUUUGCUAGCUGCAUGUCUGUGUCACACGGAACUGUCUCCAUGCUCUGCAAGCAGGUGGAAUGCAGGAGCAGGCAGGAAAACCCAGCUCUUCCAAGUCAGACACUGGAGAGCUCUGCAGACACGAAGACAAUGCCAUGCCUCCCCCUAAAUGCUUUUUGUUUUGGAAAAUAUAGCUGUUCGUCAUAAGGUAUUUACGUUGACGUAUGACAGGUUUAUGAUUGUUUUAAUGAAUUAAUAGGUAUUUUAAAUGCUCUUAGUUUCGAUUUCUAGUGUUUCUCAUUGGUGAUUUCUAACGUGGCAUCGUGGCUGCAUUCAACCCCCAUAAACGCAUGCUCCGUGGUGGCCUCCAUAGCUCUUCAGACCCAAUGUGUGAGUCCCGGGCUCCAGAUCGUGUCUCAGCCCCUCCCUGCUCCCUCAGCCAAUAGCCUGUGUCCGUGUGGCCCCUCCCCCGAGCUUCCCAGUGACGGAGGAAGGCAGACGCCGCGUGCUUUCCAGGCGCUGUCCUAAGCCCUUUGCAGAUAUGGAGCCACUUGACCCUCCUAUAACGCGUGCAGUGGGUCCUAUUACCCCCCCAUUUACGGACCAAGGGCAGGGAGGUGGAGACACUGGCUGGAGGCCGCGCAGCAGGGAAGUGGCAGUCAGGAGGCAGCCCAGGCCCUCCCAUCCGACUUCAGAGGCCAGACGCACGCCUUCUAGACGCUGACUCACAAGCCAAGUCACUCCUUCCUGACACUCACGCCACCAUGUCCUCCCCAAAGUGCAUUUGCAUUUUAACAGCCAUCUUCCGUGAGCUGACUCUGUGGUUUUCAGUCAGUGGUUUCCAGUCGGCUAUUUGUCAUAAGUUCUGGAGGUUGGGAAGUCCAAAGUCGAGUGGCCGUAUCCGGUGAGAGCCCUCCUGCAGCAUCAUCCCAUGACGGAAGGUGUCCCAUGAUAACCAGAAGCAGCAGAGAAAACAUCUGAAGUGCUUCCUGGACACACCUGUUAGGAAGUUUCUGCAAGAACCCAGCCCCAGCCCCAGGAAGAGAACGGCAGCAGGAAAAGUUAGAGAGGAGAGGGAGCAGGAGGUGGAGAGCUCGGCCCCUCCUUCGCUGCUGCCCUCUGGGUGACGCUCAGCGGAGGCGCCACGUAGCAGCUGCGAGAGCCCCGAGACAACCUCUGCACUGUUUAUGGGAUCGCAUUAGGGGAGCAGCGGCCCUGCAUGACCCCACAGGUGAGCAGGACACCUCAUCAUAGGGUAGGCACGUGAGCAGACUCACCCU